UGAGACAAUGGUUAACAGGAACAGCUGGGGGCACUCGUAUCGCUGCGCGAGUGGUGAAAUUCGUGGACCGCAGCGAGACGCCCGAAAGCGAAGGCAUUUGCCAAGAGUGUUUUCAUUAAUCAAGAACGAAAGUCAGAGGUUCGAAGGCGAUUAGAUACCGCCCUAGUUCUGACCGUAAACGAUGCCAACUAUCAAUCCGCCAGUGGCUUUCAGUCAUUGGCGGGCGGAUCGACGGAAACGAAAGUGUUUCGGUUCCGGGGGAAGUAUGGUUGCAAAGCUGAAACUUAAAGGAAUUGACGGAAGGGCACCACCAGGAGUGGAGCUUGCGGCUUAAUUUGACUCAACACGGGAAACCUCACCCGGCCAGUACAUCAUAAGGAUUGACAGAUUGAAAGCUCUUUCAUGAUUUGAUGAAUGGUGGUGCAUGGCCGUUCUUAGUUCGUGGCGUGAGUCGUCUGCUUAAUUGCGAUAACGAGCGAGACUCCGACUGCUAAAUACCGACUGCUUUCUUCGAGUUGGGAGUUCUUAGCUGGAUUCGAGACUCCAAGUCUCAAGAAAUGGAGCAAUAACAGGUCUGUGAUGCCCUUAGAUGUUCGGGGCCGCACGCGUGCUACAAUGAUAGUAACAGCGUGAUUGUCCUCGUCCGACAGGACUUGGCAAACAGUUGAGAUAUUAUUAUGGCUGGAAUUGAGUGUUGAAAUUUUCUCUCAUGAACGAGGAAUUCCAAGUAAAUGCGAGUCAUCAACUUGCAUUGAUUACGUCCCUGCCCUUUGUACACACCGCCCGUCGCUACCCGGGACUGAGUUGUUUCGAGAAAUCUACGGACCGUGCCUCCGCAUGGCAACAUGCGAAGGCGUGGAAAGUAAAUUAAUCCGCAAAUGGGCCUGAACCCCGGA
rnacentral:rRNA from 1 species